GGCACCGCAAUCCCUGUUCUCACGUUGGGAAGUUGUGUCCAUGCUUGCUUGAAAACUACAGCAAAAGGGCAUGGCUGAUUCCGGACUGAGGAGGGUUAAUUCAUUAAAAUUGAGAAAACUUUGGAGAACAUAAAGGCAGGUGGGACCUUUAAUGUUUCAGGAGCAGAGUGAGCUGACACACAGCUUGUGAGUGGGAAGCUGCUAGCAGAAAUGAGGCUCCUGCUGACAGCGAUUCUCCUUCUUCUUUUCCUAUGGCUUUACAUGGCUAAGAUGUCUAAUGACUCGCAUGGAAAUCCUUGUGAGGCUGUAUCGACAAGUGAGGCAGCAGUGGCUCUCCUCUUGUCCCCUCUGUCCCUGUACUCCUGGUUCUCCUCCACGCUGUUCAGACUCGCCCUGUCCAUCCCGGCGCUUGUCCUCAGCUCCCUCUAUCACUCUGUGUUGCUGCUCCUGGCUGGGCCUUGGUGCGUGGCCACCGUCUGUCUCUCUCUGCUGCUGACGUGUCUGCAUGUUGCUCUAUACCUGCUUCACCUGGUGCUUGUGAUUGGGGUGUUGGCCAUGUUAAUCCUCACACAACACAAAGUAGCUGACAGUGACACCACAAAUGAGAAAGUGUUGUACCAGCAAAGACACUGGAGAGGCAUCACAGCAAGCUAAACUGCGGGUGUAUGGUUGUAAAGAUGUACAACAUGGCUGCUGUAACAUUACCUAAUUGUGUAUUUCUUUAAUUAAAAA